rnacentral:rRNA from 1 species
CACUCCUGCGGGAGGCAGCAGUGGGGAAUAUUGGACAAUGGGCGCAAGCCUGAUCCAGCCAUGCCGCGUGAGUGAUGAAGGCCCUAGGGUUGUAAAGCUCUUUCACCGGUGAAGAUAAUGACGGUAACCGGAGAAGAAGCCCCGGCUAACUUCGUGCCAGCAGCCGCGGUAAUACGAAGGGGGCUAGCGUUGUUCGGAUUUACUGGGCGUAAAGCGCACGUAGGCGGAUUAUUAAGUCAGGGGUGAAAUCCCGGGGCUCAACCCCGGAACUGCCUUUGAUACUGGUAGUCUUGAGUUCGAGAGAGGUGAGUGGAAUUCCGAGUGUAGAGGUGAAAUUCGUAGAUAUUCGGAGGAACACCAGUGGCGAAGGCGGCUCACUGGCUCGAUACUGACGCUGAGGUGCGAAAGCGUGGGGAGCAAACAGGAUUAGAAACCCUGGUAGUCCC